CGUAGGGAAACUUACGCUAAUACCGCAUACGACCUACGGGUGAAAGCAGGGGAUCUUCGGACCUUGCGCGAUUGAAUGAGCCGAUGUCGGAUUAGCUAGUUGGCGGGGUAAAGGCCCACCAAGGCGACGAUCCGUAGCUGGUCUGAGAGGAUGAUCAGCCACACUGGAACUGAGACACGGUCCAGACUCCUACGGGAGGCAGCAGUGGGGAAUAUUGGACAAUGGGCGCAAGCCUGAUCCAGCCAUACCGCGUGGGUGAAGAAGGCCUUCGGGUUGUAAAGCCCUUUUGUUGGGAAAGAAAUCCAGCCGGCUAAUACCUGGUUGGGAUGACGGUACCCAAAGAAUAAGCACCGGCUAACUUCGUGCCAGCAGCCGCGGUAAUACGAAGGGUGCAAGCGUUACUCGGAAUUACUGGGCGUAAAGCGUGCGUAGGUGGUUGUUUAAGUCUGUUGUGAAAGCCCUGGGCUCAACCUGGGAACUGCAGUGGAAACUGGACAACUAGAGUGUGGUAGAGGGUAGCGGAAUUCCCGGUGUAGCAGUGAAAUGCGUAGAGAUCGGGAGGAACAUCCAUGGCGAAGGCAGCUACCUGGACCAGCACUGACACUGAGGCACGAAAGCGUGG
rnacentral:rRNA from 1 species